rnacentral:rRNA from 1 species
GACGAACGUUGGCGGCGUGCUUAAUACAUGCAAGUCAACUGAAGCAGUGGUAGCAAUCUCGCUGUGGAGGUGGCGCACGGGUGAGUAACACGUAGGUAAUCUGCCUUCAGGUCUGGCAUAACUCCGGGAAACCGGGGCUAAUAGCAGAUGAUGCAGCGGCUCGACAUCGAGACAGUUGUUAAAGCUAUGGCGCCUGAAGAUGAGCCUGCGUCUGAUUAGCUAGUUGGCGGGGUAACGGCCCACCAAGGCAACGAUCAGUAGCUGGUCUGAGAGGAUGAUCAGCCACACUGGAACUGAGACACGGUCCAGACUCCUACGGGAGGCAGCAGUAAGGAAUAUUGCUCAAUGGGAGAAAUCCUGAAGCAGCAACGCCGCGUGAGGGACGAAGAGCUUUUGCUUGUAAACCUCUGUAGUGAGAGAAAAAAAUCCCAAUCUUUGGGACAUGAUGGUAUCUCAAAAGUAAGCCCCGGCUAACUACGUG